CACAGUCAAGGUUUUCUUAAUACCAUAGUGUUUUCCCUCCUGUGCUCAUAAUAGAACAAAAUAACAAAAUUCCAUUUAGCAAUUGGUACAAAUCAAGAUGCAAUACUUUUUCUUUUCCUCCCAUCUAAGUUCAUGGCUAGGAACAUUAGGUUUAGAACUACUGAUUUAUGCUGAUAACAGCUGGCCAAUGUGGGGACUUCAGUAAUCUCCUCUGAAUGCUUAUCUAUUUUUGUGACCUCUGACCUAAGCCCCCGUGAACCUCCGAGCUCCCUUGUUCCAUGUUUUUUCUUUAAGACUUGCCUUUGUGAGGUGGGAGAGCCCAAAAGACUGUUAAAUGACAGGUCACUUGAACCUUCACAGACAGAAAGGUCUGCUUUUCAUUUGCAUCUUGUUGGUUCAGGUAGAUCUAUCAUUGCUCUCUGCAAAUCCGAAGGAGUUCUUGGAUAACUGGGAAAUGGCUGAAGAGGGCGUAGUAGUGAACAGAGAGAUCUGGGACCUAGAAAACAAAUUCUGCCAAUAGCUAAUAAAAGAAAAAGGGAGGAGUACCACACUGGCUGAUAGAAAGAAAAUUUCAUAAACACGAAAACAUAAUAAAGAAGAGUUUGAAUCUUGGUGUCUUCCCUUCAUGAUUAAUGAUUGGUCUCAAAUAGUGCGGGUUAGGGAAAGUGAAGUUCCUCUCGAAGUAGCUUUAAAAAUGCCACAGCUUAAAAAAAUUAUUGUAACAUCAAUUUAAGAAAAAAAAAUCCUCCGUUAAAAUGUAAAGGUCAAGAAAGAUUUGGGUGUUUUUAAAUGCUGUCUUGAAGAAAUUCUUAAAAGGUUAAGAUGUCAUGUAGUUUCAGAGUUAUGGGCAUAGGAGGGGGGCCCAGGACAAAACACACCUACCUCGGGGCCCUUCUGUGACUGUGACCCAUGCCAACAGUGGGCAGGAGGCAGCUGUCGGAUCACAGUGUGUCAUGGUGUCACAGGGAAAAGACACAUACCUCCCUUAGAGCUUUGAAAGCUAGGGGAGUGUUUCACCUACAGAACUUUUUUCCUGUGACACACAGGCCACAAGAUCGACCUCCAUCUGUGCUUGCAAAUAGCAUGGAGUCGCCUGUUUCCUGUGACAACAUUAAAAUCAUCAGGUAAAACCACCCAGGAGUCCCGAGUGCCUGCCGAUUCUCUCUCCUGCUCUUGCUGGGCCCUCGCUGGGCCCUCGCAGACUUGCUUCUUCAGUAGUUUCCAUGGAGAGCGGCACCUUUGGUUUUCAGAUAUCUGAGAAGGAAGAGGAGGUUCACUGGCUUCUCCACUCUGCAAAUUUUCUGGCGGCUACUAUGACUCGAGGGCCUUGGUGCUUUUGGUGUUCUAGUCAUGAGAUAAAAGCUAACAGAUUUUUGGAGGGGAACAGCCUUUCUCUCCUGGGAAAUCAAGGACGGUGUCUGCCUACUGGUGCCUCUGAUCAGGACUUCCGCUCAAGGAUCUGAAGGAGUCACGUGAUCAUUACGGCUUUCGAUCUGUCCCGAUCUGUACUGCACACACGUCACUGCGCAGUUACCUGGUUGCACAUCUCAACGUGGCCUGAGGAAGGGAAGUGGUUUGGCAUCGGGUGGAAGCCGAGAAAUGCAGAGCCUGUGUCUUAGACACCACUUCCUGAACUAGAAUCCGCGUUUCAUAGCCGUCCCAGUGGGAUGUAUGUGCGAGACGUUCUGCACCAGUAAAGGUGCCCUCUGCUCCAGUAAGCAUGACUGGGUGAACACAAAGGGCAACUUUCCCCUUGGAAAUUGCUGCUGACUGAGGACAAACGUUCUUCAGCCCUACGAUGAGAAGAACGGAAACUACGAUUGCAGAGGGAAAGCCGUUUUUUAUCACCCAGACUCAGGCUUGGCUUGAUGUGGGUUCUCUGAGGAACAAAGGAAGUCAUUAGGCCUGUCUCUUUCUAAAAGUUUCUUUGCGACAUCAACUGGUCUUUAUGCGGUUGAAUUUACUGGAGAGUGGGCUUGACCGUUGCCAACAUAACUUGUAAGGCAUCAAAAAGCAACUCGAAAAGUGCAAUCCAGUGGCUUGUUAAUUAAGUCUGGAAUCCACCAUCUCAUGGAUAAUUUGAGUUUUGUCUCCUUGUUAAGUACAAGCUGUGUGGUGGCUGCUCAGACUGUCGUAGCACGGGUGACAUGCUUGUCAUACCUCUCCUUUGGCCCCUGUCCAAAAAUCCCGGAGCCAGCUCAAUUACUGUGGUAUUUCCUGUUUAUUACCACUUCUUAUUAUUUCUGAUUGUAUGGAUUUUGCAUUUCAUAUUUUACAUUUACCUAUUGUUUUAGUCAGGGUUGUCUAGAGUCACAGAACUUAUGGGUAGUCUCUAUAUAGUAAGGGAAUUUGUUGAUGACUGACAGUCUGUAGUCCAACUCCCCUACAAUGGUCAGCAGCAGCUGUGAAUGGAAGUCCAAGGAUCUAGUGGUGGCUCAGUCCCACAAGGCAGGCAGGUGAGGGACUCUUCCUUCUUCCAAUGUCCUCAUAUAAGUUUCCAGCAGAAGGUAUGUCCCAGAUUAAAGGUGUGUACCACCAUGCCUAGAUCUGGGACUUGCUUUGUCCCAGGUGACCUUGAACUCAGAGAUCUUCUUGCCUUAGGCUCCUGGGAUUCACAGCCUCCAUGCCAAGAUCCAGGUCAGAAACUUGUAUCUCCCAGCCUCAAGAUCAGGAUCAAUGGACGCGGAAGAUGAGGCUCGCCUUGGAGAGAGAACGAGCCUUCGGUGCCAGAUGAGCAUCAUUGAGAAGGCUUCUUGGGGUCAAGCAGCCGAGCGUUGGAUACCUGGAUGUGGCCUUUAAAUAUCCCAUAUGGACUUUUAUUUUUGUCUUCUCUUCUGGCUACCUGGAAGCCAAGGAUUCCAGGACAUGAAGAAGAUGGAGGAAACUGUUGGUGGAAGAAGUCUAGACACGCAAGUCACAACUUAGAAAAGGGCCAUCUGAGUGUGUCUAUCAUGGACCGUUUGGGCUGCUAAUGAAAUACCAUGGGCUGGGUAGUGUAUAAAAUCAGUAUUUACUUUCUGCAGUUCUGGAGUCCGAGAGUCAAGGUGUCAUGAGGUUUAUUAUCUGGUGAGGGCUCCUUUUUGCUUACAAGAAGGUACACGAUGGCUCUGCCCUUGUGACAUGACUCCUUUUUUUUUUUUUUUUAAUUAACUUGAGUAUUUCUUAUAUACAUUUCGAGUAUUAUUCCCUUUCCCGGUUUCCGGGCAAACAUCCCCCUAACCCCUCCCCCUCCCCUUCUUUAUGGGUGUUCCCCUCCCCAUCCUCCCCCCAUUGCCGCCCUCCCCCCAACAGUCUAGUUCACUGGGGGUGCAGUCUUAGCAGGACCCAGGGCUUCCCCUUCCACUGGUGCUCUUACUAGGAUAUUCAUUGCUACAUAUGAGGUCAGAGUCCAGGGUCAGUCCAUGUAUAGUCUUUAGGUAGUGGCUUAGUCCCUGGAAGCUCUGGUUGCUUGGCAUUGUUUUACAUAUGGGGUCUCGAGCCCCUUCAAGCUCUUCCAGUUCUUUCUCUGAUUCCUUCAACAGGGGUCCUAUUCUCAGUUCAGUGGUUUGCUGCUGGCAUUCGCCUAUGUAUUUGCUGUGUUCUGGCUGUGUCUCUCAGGAGAGAUCUACAUCCAGCUCCUGUCGGCCUGCACUUCUUUGCUUCAUCCAUCUUGUCUAAUUGGAUGGCUAUAUAUGUAUGGGCCACAUGUGGGGCAGGCUCUGAAUGGGUGUUCCUUCUGUGUCUGUUUUAAUCUUUGCCUCUCUAUUCCCUGCCAAGGGUAUUCUUGUUCCCCUUUUAAAGAAGGAGUGAAGCAUUCACAUUUUGAUCAUCCGUCUUGAGUUUCAUUUGUUCUAGGCAUCUAGGGUAAUUCAAGCAUUUGGGCUAAUAGCCACUUAUCAAUGAGUGCAUACCAAUGUGUUUUUCUGUGAUUGGGUUACCUCACUCAGGAUGAUACUUUCCAGUUCCAACCAUUUGCCUAUGAAUUUCAUAAACUCGUUGUUUUUGAUAGCUGAGUAAUAUUCCAUUGUGUAGAUGUACCACAUUUUCUGUAUCCAUUCCUCUGUUGAAGGGCAUCUGGGUUCUUUCCAGCUUCUGGCUAUUAUAAAUAAGGCUGCUAUGAACAUAGUGGAGCACGUGUCUUUUUUAUAUGUUGGGGCAUCUUGUGGGUAUAUGCCCAAGAGAGGUAUAGCUGGAUCCUCAGGCAGUUCAAUGUCCAAUUUUCUGAGGAACCUCCAGACUGAUUUCCAGAAUGGUUGUACCAGUCUGCAAUCCAACCAACAAUGGAGGAGUGUUGCUCUUUCUCCGCAUCCUCGCCAGCAUCUGAUAUCACCUGUGUUUUUGAUCUUAGCCAUUCUCACUGGUGUGAGGUAAAAUCUCAGGGUUGUUUUGAUUUGCAUUUCCCUUAUGACUAAGGAUGAUGAACAUUUCUUUAGGUGUUUCUCUGCCAUUUGGCAUUCCUCAGCUGUGAAUUCUUUGUUUAGCUCUGAACCCCAUUUUUUAAUAGGGUUAUUUGACUCCCUGCGGUCUAACUUCUUGAGUUCUUUGUAUAUUUUGGAUAUAAGGCCUCUAUCUGUUGUAGGAUUGGUAAAGAUCUUUUCCCAAUCUGUUGGUUGCCAUUUUGUCCUAACCACAGUGUCCUUUGCCUUACAGAAGCUUUGCAGUUUUAUGAGAUCCCAUUUGUCGAUUCUUGAUCUUAGAGCAUAAGCCAUUGGUGUUUUGUUCAGGAAAUUUUUUCCAGUGCCCAUGUGUUCCAGAUGCUUCCCUAGUUUUUCUUCUAUUAGUUUGAGUGCAUCUGGUUUGAUGUGGAGGUCCUUGAUCCACUUGGACUUAAGCUUUGUACAGGGUGAUAAGCAUGGAUCGAUCUGCAUUCUUCUACAUGUUGACCUCCAGUUGGACCAGCACCAUUUGCUGAAAAUGCUAUCUUUUUUCCAUUUGAUGGUUUUGGCUCCUUUGGACAUGACUACUUCUUAAAGUAGCCACCCUGAAUAUUGUUACUAUGGAGAGCAACUUACAAUCCAUGGGUUAUGGAGGACCAUGAUAGUGUCUGUGCAGGAACACCUGCCCUGGGUUUGAGACUGACGGCAGGCAACACUGCAUUGCGCUAGGCUGUUGGGACUGGGAGGUCUCACCUUGUCACUGUGAGUUUCUAUCUCUGAUGAAGUUUGUUAUUGGUGGAAUUCAAAAAUAAUCAAGUCCAUUGUGCAGAAGAGUACUUCAAAUGUUACAAAUAAGGAUUCUCAAGUUUCCUGAGACUUUCUGAGACAUUUUGAGUUCUCUGUAUUCUUAUUUAGAGCUCAGAACAAUCUUUCAGGAGCAGAUCUAUUAGCUCCAAUUUAUAGGUGAGGGACCAGACUGGGAAGGGGAUUAGAGAACUUGCUGAUGUCAGGGCACUGAAGAGCAGGGCUCGGUGCUGGUGAUCUUGGUCAACCGUGUUCCCACAGUGCUUUCUGCCUGUGUCGUAGUCCAUUCGUACCGUCACUUGGGGAAGGACCAGGGUCAGCACAUUGAAUGACAAGGUAAGGUCACCGCAAGCACUGAAAAAAGGCCCAGCCUUAAAGAGGAGAAAAAAAACCAUCUUGCUCUCCCCAAAAAGACGUUGCCAGAACGUUUCCUUUAUCUGCAUUCCACACCUAAAAAAUACGGAAUUGAUUUUCUCUGAUUUCCCUUCUCUGCCCUUCAUUGAAAGACUUGAUUAUGCCCCAGUUUUCUGCAGAGAGAAAAUUCUUACUGCUGAGUUGUACAAUCUGCAGAUGAGGAGUUUAUAACUGGAUUUCAACCGUGGGACAUUUUCCCCUCCAUUGAGACAUGCGUGUAACUCCCAUCACGGGAAGGCUUCCUUGGGAGAAAAGAAGAUUCCUACUUCUGUAGAGAAAAAACAAGGAGAGAAGCUGACCAUGGUGUCAGGAAAAGCCUGCGCCUGAGAGGGCAGGGAUAAGGCAGAAGGGGGAAGCUAGGCUAACGUUUCUUCAGGAUUUUGUUUGUUUCUGUUUUUGCAGAGAAGGUAGAGUUUCCCUGACUGAACACCAUCAUGGUUGUUGUUAGUUAUUCAAAUCCAGAAAGAGAAUGCCCCAAGAAAUAACUUCACUGUCGUGGGUAAAACACACAUAUAGGAUGUCAUGAUCAUAGCUUCCGUUAGAACCAAGUCCACAUAUGUCUCUAAUCUCCAUGGUCCCUCAGAAGCCCACAGUUUGAUAAGACAGAGGCAAAGCAGAAGUACUCUGUGGUUUAGAUCACAGGCUACAGGGGCAGUCUGAGAUUAACAUUUCUACCCUUCCCGUUCUAACUGAGCAAUGGUUUGGUCAACUUAAACCUAAACUCCCUAAGCUCCAGAGUCCUCCGUUGUAAAAUCAAGACAGAGGUGGGUAUCUCGCUCAGUACUCUGAGGAUGGCACAGUAGGUAACUGUGUGUGCAUAAUCAAUCACCCUUGUGGAGGAGGAUAUUAAUCAUGAUGUUGACUCAGACACAGAAAUAAGAAGAUGGCAACUGAGGCAAUUAGGAAACCAUAUUUAUUGAUAACUCUUGCUUGUGUGUGUUUGAGCAUGUGGGGUAUGUACAAGCAUGUGUGUUUGAGCGUGUGGAGUAUGUACCAGCAUGUGUGUUUGAGCAUGUGGAGUAUGUACAAGCAUGUGUGUUUGAGCAUGUGGAGUAUGUACCAGCGUGUGUGUUUGAGUGUGUGGAGUAUGUACCAGCAUGAAGCCAGAAGACAUUCUCAAAUAUAAUGCUCCUCAGGUAGCUGUCCAUCUCAGUGGCCUGGAGCUCACCAAAUAGGCCAUCCCAUGUGAACCCUUGCCAGCUCUCAGAUCAGAAGGGCACACUGCCAUGCCCAGCACUUUUACGUGGGUUCUGUGGAUCAAGCUCAGGUCUUUGUGCUUGCAAAGUAAGCGCUUUACUUAAACAGGACAUUUCCCCAGCUACAUUACUUUAGUUACAUACGUUACGUAGCUACAUGAAACCGAGGCUUCAGUUUUAUGGAUUCAGAAGGUAAAACCAAAAUGGGAUAAGAAGAAAUCCUAGUGUAACUGCGACCUGGCCGAGAGGUGAUCAAAGGGACAGGUGGGCUUCCUGGAGGAGUUUGUACUUCUUGAGCGUGUGAGCUGGAACAAGGCAAUGACCAGGAGUUCAGGAAUUUUUACAUGGUGCUCAUAAUCUACACUCUGGUUCAGUUCUUAACCCAGGGCAGAGAGAGGGGAACUUCCUAAUGAACAGUUGGGGUGGACAUGUUAUAGCGAGAUGGAGCUCAGGACAGGCAGCCAGAGAGAGACAGCACAGAGAACGGUCUUAUGGGGUUGAUGAGGGGCCUAGCAAGGUUCCAGACCACCCAACUUGUCCUGCAGGACCACCCUUUGUGACUGUGACUCAGUCUGUGUGUGUGUGUGUGUUUGUUUGUGUGUGUCUGUGUGUACACUUGUGGGUGUGCAUAUGUGUGCAUGUGUGUGCACUUGUGCAUGUGUGUGCGUGUGCAUGCCCAUGUGAAGAAACCUCUGGCAUGACUUAUCAGGAAUGCCUUCCACUACAUUUUUGAAGCAGGGUCUCCUCCUUGGCUUAGAGCCUACCAUUGUGCUAGGUUGGCAGGGUAGUGAGCCCAGUGUCUGCCUCCUGGGAUUACAAGUGCACACUGCCACAACAGCCUUUUUAACAGGGGUUCCGCAGAUGGAACGAGUCCUUGUGCAUGUACAGCAGGCAUCUUAUUGACCGAGUCAUUUCCCCAGUCCGGCUCUGUUUUAUAAAUGAACAUUUUGCUGCAGAAACUUAUCAUAGUCGCUGGAGGUCAGAAGCCAACAUUUCCAUACAGUUUAUUCUGAAGGGUGCCUUAUCCCUUCAUAUUUAGCGAGUUCCUCACAGGUCUGCUACCGAACAUCGCUUCUCAGAGGGAUAGAACCUCCUGCCUCUGAUACGGACUGAGAGAAAGAUGUUCGUUUUUGAAGCAACAUAGAUUCAGAUAGUGAUAGUAAUUCUUUGUGAAACUGUGUUUGAGUAAGCAAGCAACAAGCAUAGUUGAAAUGUUCUCCUGCCUGCCGGACAACCGUUUCCUUUUGAAAGCCGUGUUCGUGUACUAGGCAGAAGCCUGGACUUCUACAGAGGGAAUUGUGAUUUGCCAGCUAGCAUAAGCCUCCGUGCCUCCUGCUCCGGGUUCCCUCACUCUUUUAUAUUCCUCCUCAGCCUCAGAGAGUCCUUCUGCAGCCACCGGACUGACAGGCCCAGCUGCUUGGCUGCAGUUCACGUUUUCUCCUCUAACAGCCCUGUUUGCCCUGGGAGUUAAUUUGUGGGGAUUCACGCUGACCGAG